GAUGAGAACGCAGCGAAAUGCGAUAAGUAAUGCGAAUUGCAGAAUUUCCGUGAGUCAUCGAAUCUUUGAACGCACAUUGCGCCCCUUGGUAUUCCAUGGGGCAUGCCUGUUCGAGCGUCAUUUGUACCUUCAAGCUCUGCUUGGUGUUGGGUGUUUGUCUCGCCUCUGCGUGUAGACUCGCCUCAAAACAAUUGGCAGCCGGCGUAUUGAUUUCGGAGCGCAGUACAUCUCGCGCUUUGCACUCAUAACGACGACGUCCAAAAGUACAUUUUUACACUCUUGACCUCGGAUCAGGUAGGGAUACCCGCUGAACUUAAGCAUAUCAAUAAGCGGAGGA
rnacentral:misc_RNA from 1 species